rnacentral:rRNA from 1 species
AAUCAACGCUGGCGGCGUGCCUAACACAUGCAAGUCGAACGCGAAAGCCCCGCAAGGGGUAAGUAGAGUGGCAAACGGGUGAGUAACACGUGGGUGACCUGCCUUCGAGUGGGGGAUAACGUCCCGAAAGGGACGCUAAUACCGCAUGACAUCCUGCUUUUGAAAAAGCGGAGAUCAAAGCUGGGGAUCGCAAGACCUAGCGCUUGAAGAGGGGCCCGCGCCUGAUUAGCUAGUUGGUGAGGUAACGGCUCACCAAGGCGACGAUCAGUAUCCGGCCUGAGAGGGCGGACGGACACACUGGGACUGAGACACGGCCCAGGCUCCUACGGGAGGCAGCAGUGGGGAAUUGUUCGCAAUGGGCGCAAGCCUGACGACGCAACGCCGCGUGGAGGACGAAGAUCUUCGGGUCGUAAACUCCUGUCGAGCGGGACGAACGCUUCGCGGAUGAAUAAUCCGCGGAAUUGACGGUACCGCUAAAGGAAGCCCCGGCUAACUCCGUG